rnacentral:rRNA from 1 species
GAUGAACGCUGGCGGCGUGCCUAAUACAUGCAAGUCGAGCGAACGGACGAGAAGCUUGCUUUUCUGAUGUUAGCGGCGGACGGGUGAGUAACACGUGGAUAACCUACCUAUAAGACUGGGAUAACUUCGGGAAACCGGAGCUAAUACCGGAUAAUAUUUUGAACCGCAUGGUUCAAAAGUGAAAGACGGUCUUGCUGACACUUAUAGAUGGAUCCGCGCUGCAUUAGCUAGUUGGUAAGGUAACGGCUUACCAAGGCAACGAUGCAUAGCCGACCUGAGAGGGUGAUCGGCCACACUGGAACUGAGACACGGUCCAGACUCCUACGGGAGGCAGCAGUAGGGAAUCUUCCGCAAUGGGCGAAAGCCUGACGGAGCAACGCCGCGUGAGUGAUGAAGGUCUUCGGAUCGUAAAACUCUGUUAUUAGGGAAGAACAUAUGUGUAAGUAACUGUGCACAUCUUGACGGUACCUAAUCAGAAAGCCACGGCUAACUACGU